rnacentral:rRNA from 1 species
CAGCGCCACGAGUGGCAAUCGCAUUUAUUGGGCCUAAAGCGUCCGUAGCCUGUUUGGUAAGUCUUUUGUGAAAUCGUUGCGCUCAACGUAACGCUGUGCAAGAGAGACUGCCAGACUUGGAACCGGGAAGGGUUAGAGGUAUUCUUGGGGGAGCGGUAAAAUGCUAUAAUCCCAAGAGGACCACUGUGGCGAAGGCGUCUAACUAGAACGGCUUCGACGGUGAGGGACGAAAGCUGAGGGAGCAAUCCGGAUUAGAGACCCGAGUAGUCC